UACAGAGGUCUCAAGCGAUUGUUCGGAUUCAUUGGGCGUAAAGGGUGCGUAGGGCGGCGCGGUAAGUCGGGUGUGAAAUCAUUGGAGCUUAACUCCGAAACUGCAUUCGAUACUGCCGUGCUUGAGGACUGGAGAGGAGACUGGAAUUUACGGUGUAGCGGUGAAAUGCGUAGAUAUCGUAAGGAAGACCCAGUGGCGAAAGGGCGGGGUCUCU
rnacentral:rRNA from 1 species